GGUUAAGCGACUAAGCGUACACGGUGGAUGCCCUGGCAGUCAGAGGCGAUGAAGGGCGUGCUAAUCUGCGAUAAGCGCCGGUAAGGUGAUAUGAACCGUUAUAACCGGCGAUACCCGAAUGGGGAAACCCAGUGUGAUUCGUCACACUAUCAUUAACUGAAUCCAUAGGUUAAUGAGGCGAACCGGGGGAACUGAAACAUCUAAGUACCCCGAGGAAAAGAAAUCAACCGAGAUUCCCCCAGUAGCGGCGAGCGAACGGGGAGGAGCCCAGAGCCUGAAUCAGCAUGUGUGUUAGUGGAAGCGUCUGGAAAGGCGCGCGAUACAGGGUGACAGCCCCGUACACAAAAGCGCAUGUGCUGUGAGCUCGAUGAGUAGGGCGGGACACGUGGUAUCCUGUCUGAAUAUGGGGGGACCAUCCUCCAAGGCUAAAUACUCCUGACUGACCGAUAGUGAACCAGUACCGUGAGGGAAAGGCGAAAAGAACCCCGGCGAGGGGAGUGAAAAAGAACCUGAAACCGUGUACGUACAAGCAGUGGGAGCCCCACCACUAAGCCAGUGGUGAACUCCACAUACGCAUCCUUUGCUGAGGAUACGGUUAACGGAGCGAAAGCGACGUUCAACCGCAAAACAAGCAGAGGGGGCUUAGUGGUGGGGUGACUGCGUACCUUUUGUAUAAUGGGUCAGCGACUUAUAUUCUGUAGCAAGGUUAACCGAAUAGGGGAGCCGUAGGGAAACCGAGUCUUAACCGGGCGUUAAGUUGCAGGGUAUAGACCCGAAACCCGGUGAUCUAGCCAUGGGCAGGUUGAAGGUUGGGUAACACUAACUGGAGGACCGAACCGACUAAUGUUGAAAAAUUAGCGGAUGACCUGUGGCUGGGGGUGAAAGGCCAAUCAAACCGGGAGAUAGCUGGUUCUCCCCGAAAGCUAUUUAGGUAGCGCCUCGUGAAUUCAUCUCCGGGGGUAGAGCACUGUUUCGGCUAGGGGGCCAUCCCGGCUUACCAACCCGAUGCAAACUGCGAAUACCGGAGAAUGUUAUCACGGGAGACACACGGCGGGUGCUAACGUCCGUCGUGAAGAGGGAAACAACCCAGACCGCCAGCUAAGGUCCCAAAGUCAUGGUUAAGUGGGAAACGAUGUGGGAAGGCCCAGACAGCCAGGAUGUUGGCUUAGAAGCAGCCAUCAUUUAAAGAAAGCGUAAUAGCUCACUGGUCGAGUCGGCCUGCGCGGAAGAUGUAACGGGGCUAAACCAUGCACCGAAGCUGCGGCAGCGAACGUAUCACUUAAAGCGAUUCAGCGGGUUACGAUUGACGGAGCGAAGCGACGUCAAAGCGUAUACAAAGUCGAGUCGGUUUAAGGAUACGUUCGUUGGGUAGGGGAGCGUUCUGUAAGCCUGCGAAGGUGGCCUGUGAGGGUUGCUGGAGGUAUCAGAAGUGCGAAUGCUGACAUAAGUAACGAUAAAGCGGGUGAAAAGCCCGCUCGCCGGAAGACCAAGGGUUCCUGUCCAACGUUAAUCGGGGCAGGGUGAGUCGACCCCUAAGGCGAGGCCGAAAGGCGUAGUCGAUGGGAAACGGGUUAAUAUUCCCGUACUUGGUGUUACUGCGAAGGGGGGACGGAGAAGGCUAUGUUGGCCGGGCGACGGUUGUCCCGGUUUAAGCGUGUAGGUGUGUGUUCCAGGUAAAUCCGGUUCACUUUAACACUGAGGCGUGACGACGAGGCACUACGGUGCUGAAGCAACAAAUGCCCUGCUUCCAGGAAAAGCCUCUAAGCAUCAGGUAACAUCAAAUCGUACCCCAAACCGACACAGGUGGUCAGGUAGAGAAUACCAAGGCGCUUGAGAGAACUCGGGUGAAGGAACUAGGCAAAAUGGUGCCGUAACUUCGGGAGAAGGCACGCUGAUAUGUAGGUGAAGCGGUUUACCCGUGGAGCUGAAAUCAGUCGAAGAUACCAGCUGGCUGCAACUGUUUAUUAAAAACACAGCACUGUGCAAACACGAAAGUGGACGUAUACGGUGUGACGCCUGCCCGGUGCCGGAAGGUUAAUUGAUGGGGUCAGCGCAAGCGAAGCUCCUGAUCGAAGCCCCGGUAAACGGCGGCCGUAACUAUAACGGUCCUAAGGUAGCGAAAUUCCUUGUCGGGUAAGUUCCGACCUGCACGAAUGGCGUAAUGAUGGCCAGGCUGUCUCCACCCGAGACUCAGUGAAAUUGAACUCGCUGUGAAGAUGCAGUGUACCCGCGGCAAGACGGAAAGACCCCGUGAACCUUUACUAUAGCUUGACACUGAACAUUGAGCCUUGAUGUGUAGGAUAGGUGGGAGGCUUUGAAGUGUGGACGCCAGUCUGCAUGGAGCCGACCUUGAAAUACCACCCUUUAAUGUUUGAUGUUCUAACGUGGACCCGUGAUCCGGGUUGCGGACAGUGUCUGGUGGGUAGUUUGACUGGGGCGGUCUCCUCCUAAAGAGUAACGGAGGAGCACGAAGGUUGGCUAAUCCUGGUCGGACAUCAGGAGGUUAGUGCAAUGGCAUAAGCCAGCUUGACUGCGAGCGUGACGGCGCGAGCAGGUGCGAAAGCAGGUCAUAGUGAUCCGGUGGUUCUGAAUGGAAGGGCCAUCGCUCAACGGAUAAAAGGUACUCCGGGGAUAACAGGCUGAUACCGCCCAAGAGUUCAUAUCGACGGCGGUGUUUGGCACCUCGAUGUCGGCUCAUCACAUCCUGGGGCUGAAGUAGGUCCCAAGGGUAUGGCUGUUCGCCAUUUAAAGUGGUACGCGAGCUGGGUUUAGAACGUCGUGAGACAGUUCGGUCCCUAUCUGCCGUGGGCGCUGGAGAACUGAGGGGGGCUGCUCCUAGUACGAGAGGACCGGAGUGGACGCAUCACUGGUGUUCGGGUUGUCAUGCCAAUGGCACUGCCCGGUAGCUAAAUGCGGAAGAGAUAAGUGCUGAAAGCAUCUAAGCACGAAACUUGCCCCGAGAUGAGUUCUCCCUGAGACUUAGAGUCUCCUGAAGGAACGUUGAAGACGACGACGUUGAUAGGCCGGGUGUGUAAGCGCAGCGAUGCGUUGAGCUAACCGGUACUAAUGAACCGUGAGGCUUAACCUU
rnacentral:rRNA from 1 species